AAAAUAAAAUCUUGAUGUUAAUACACAUCAGGAUUUACAUUGGACAGAUCAUGAAAUACAGUGUCACCUGGACAGAAGAUGUACAGACUGAGCUGUGUAAGAGGUUCAUGAAUUCAUUUUUUUUUCUCUAAAUAAAGGGCUCAAACAGCAUUUUGCUAGAUUUUGAACAGUCUAUGUCACCAAUUUUUCACCUCUUGAACAAAAUUUGUGGUACUCACUAGCUUCAAAAUUCAUAAAAGUGCCAACAUUGCUCCUAUGUGGAAUAUGCCUCCUCCCCCAUCCCAUCCAUCACUAUUUUUUUUUUUUUUUCGAUGGUUGUUUAUUUUUUUUUACUAAAAUCUGCUAGGCUUUCUCUUUGAAAACUGACCAUUUCAAUUUGAACAGAAGAGAGACACUGAACUGAGUGAUGCUGAGCUGGGAAAAUAAUGGUAUCUGGGAACUUUCCAUCAUAGCAUCGAGGAAAGUCUCCUCAGACCCCAGUCUUUCAGGGUAAGUAAAUUUUGUUGCAGUCAUGCUUAUUGAUUAGCGCAGUGGACGGGUGCUUGCAAGAACUGGGUGCUAUUCUUGGCUCCUGCCACAGACUUCCUAUGUGCUGAUGAACAAGUCUUUUAGACCAAAGCUUUUUCGUUGUGAGAAUUUCCUUGCAUUUUAAAUCUGUGGGGGAUUAAAUGGAAUGGACAUUUAGAUUCACUUCCCCACCUCCUUCAGUAAUAGAUGAAAUGGAGAGGAUAUGGGAGCGUGUUUAAAAGAUCAAAUCAAUGCACUUAUUUUGUAACCAGGAAAUAAAGGGAACAAGCUGUUUAAAAAUAAAAAAUAAAAAAAUACACAUCUGCUUUUUUUCCCCCCAACUCCCUCUGAGAUAAAUCAAAAUCAGUCUUUGAAAGAUUAAUUGUGGAGUCCAUAUCUCACAACUAUGUAGCUGAGGACUAAAAAAAAAACACAUAAUGUUGACUAAUAAAACUGUCUGGCUAUACAAACCUUUAAAAUCAAGAAAUUGCCUGUCCACAUGUUUUUUCUGCCACAUAUCUUAAUUAGCUCCACAAAUAACAGUGUCUGCUUUCACUUUCUCAUCUAUUAAUUAGCCUCAUACUACUGUGAAGUGAGCAGUGAGAAAAUAGCCAUUCUUUGUUCCUUGUGUUAUAAUACGGGACAUUACCUUCUUUCUGACCUGAGGACAAAGGAAUACUCUUAUGCCCUUUAUGAGAGCGUGGCUAUCUUACAAGCCCCCUGAAUUCAUUUGUGGAUUUGCUUUAGCUCUGGAGAAGAAAGUACUUAAUGUUCUGAAUACAUACAUAUAUACAUACAUGUGUAUAUAUAUAUAAACACAAAACUAUUAAAUUUAAAAUACUGAACUGUGAUCUGCUCCAGGGUGUUCUGCCAUGAUUAAACUAAUAUUGGGAAAAAAAAAAAAAAAAGAGAUUGGGAGACCAGAAGCUAAUUAAAAAAAUUAAAAUUUAAAAUAAGCUAAUUUAAAAAAUAAAAAUCUCAUGUUCUUAAUUAAG